rnacentral:lncRNA from 1 species
CACAUGGGGGCAGCAGAGAGGCAGAUUAGACGCCCGGCUCCAAAGAGCCCAUGAGAGAAGCCUGCAGCUCUAAUUUUGGGCGUAGUGUUUUCAGAAACACUCCUUCAGAAAUUAAACGUUUUAUCUAUUGAAACAAUCCUAGCCAACUGGCAUGUCUAUUUUCCUCCUUUUGAAAGAAAAAUAAGACCCGCAUCUAGGAGUAGGAAUUUGAUGUUUAAACAUAUUCUCAAGAAGAGAAGAUUUCAUCAGAGGACCAUUCGGAUGGCAGUGCUGCAGGUACAGCUGAAUCAGGAAAAAGUAUAAUAUUUUAGAAGUAGUAUUUAGGCUGAAUCAUAGAGAAUUUACAGGAAAC